rnacentral:rRNA from 1 species
GGCAGCGGUGGGUCGGCAGGCGCGAGUAGACGGAGGGUGUCAUAGUUUAGUGGAAUGACUGUGAGUAAAGCGUGCUCAGGGGGCGUAUUAAGGCAGAAGUGAAUUCCCUAUGCUCAACCUAGGAACUGCAUUUGAAACUAAUGAACUAGAGUAUCGUAGAGGGAGUUAGACUUCCAGGUGUAGCGGUGAAAUGCGUAGAUAUCUGGAGGAAUACCAGUGGCGAAGGCGACCUCCUGGACGAAAACUGACGCUCAAGCACGAAAGCAUGGGGAGCAAACAGGAUUAGAUACCCCGGUAGUC